rnacentral:lncRNA from 1 species
ACCCAUUCUGAGUCGCCAAAUACAUGGUACAUAAACAAAUACAACUUCAAUAAUACAAUUGUCGUGCAAAAUACGACAACACAUAUACUGUGAGUUUGAAUACAACUAUUGUCUAAUAGAGAGUAUACAAACUCAAAAGGAGUCCUCAUUACAAUUAUUGAUACACUAUUUUACAAAAUAGACAGGACUAAUAAUACAACUAUCCUAAACCAUCACUCUAUACCCCGGCUAGUUCCUGCUAUGUUCUCACCUCCUGAGAAGGAAAAUGGAACAAAAAGUAAAAGGGUGAGCUCAACUAGCCCAGUAAAGAAUAUUAUGACUAAGAUAAUAUACAUCAAUUUAUCAUUAGUCUUCAACAGGGAAAAAUCUAAUAAAAUAUAAUAGACAACAAGUUUUAGAUCAACAACCGCAGCGGAACAACAAUCCAUUAGAAGAGUCAAGUAGAGAAAGAAUUCUACUAUCUUUUAAGAUUUAAAAAUCUAUCAUCAAUAUUUUAUCCCAGUAACAUCAAUUAAUAGACAUAUUGAAUCAAAUAUUUAUCUUUGCACUACAGGCUAAAGAUAUUCAUUUGUAUCACCAGUUGGUCAUGUUUUAGGUAAUCAUUCAUCUUUGCACUACAGGCCAAAGAUAUUCAUCAGUUAAUCAUUCAUCUUUGCACUACAUGUUAGGUUUGUAUUAUUCAUGAACGCAAUCAAAUUGCACAAAUAAGCGGAAACAUGUAAAAAUCAGAGUAUAAAAUUUUACAAACCAUAUACCCGGAUCAUCCUUUAUGCGCAAUUAUUAAUUAAACGAAAAGAUAAAGAACAAGAAUCGUACCCUUCAAGAUUCGAG